rnacentral:tRNA from 1 species
AUUUAGGUAGUUUAAAUUUAGAACGUUAAUUUGUGGUGUUAAAAGUGAUUUUAUUUCUAAAUU